rnacentral:misc_RNA from 1 species
GAUGAAGAACGUAGCGAAAUGCGAUACUUGGUGUGAAUUGCAGAAUCCCGUGAACCAUCGAGUCUUUGAACGCAAGUUGCGCCCGAAGCCAUUAGGCCGAGGGCACGCCUGCCUGGGCGUCACACGUCGUUGCCCCCCCAUCUACUCCUUCGGGAUUGCGGGGGGGCGGAUGAUGGCCUCCCGUGCGCCUCGCCGCGCGGUUGGCAUAAAUGCCAAGUCCUCGGCGACGCACGCCACGACAAUCGGUGGUUGCGAAACCUCGGUUGCCCGUCGUGUGCGGUCGUCGCGCAUCGAGGGCUCGAAAAAAUUGCCGGGUUCCGGCUCGGCUUUCAACGCGACCCCAGGUCAGGCGGGGUUACCCGCUGAAUUUAAGCAUAUCAAUAAGCGGAGGA